rnacentral:rRNA from 1 species
UGAGUUGCGAACGGGUGAGUAACGCGUAGGUAACCUGCCUGGUAGUGGGGGAUAACUAUUGGAAACGAUAGCUAAUACCGCAUAAUAGCAGUUGUUGCAUGACAGCUGUUUGAAAGGUGCAAUUGCACCACUACCAGAUGGACCUGCGUUGUAUUAGCUAGUUGGUGGGGUAACGGCCCACCAAGGCGACGAUACAUAGCCGACCUGAGAGGGUGAUCGGCCACACUGGGACUGAGACACGGCCCAG